UAACCGAGAAGCCGAUGCAACCGCACGGUCCAACACGCGUGCUUCUGUUUCCGACGCGUAGCGCGAGCGUUCGUCGCCUCCUGCAGUUCGCGGCAGUGUGAGUCAGUGAGAUCACGCGGCGACAUGCUAAAUAUAAUUGACACGAGCGUGUGCAACGAUGUCGACGAUGUCGACGACGAUGUCGACGACGACGACGACAACACGCGUCCGACAACGGGAACACCGAGCCCGAGUGGAGGAAGAGGCUGCUGCUUCUUCUUUUUCUCGUCCUCACGAUCGAACCGUCAGUGAUCGAUAUUCGUCAUAUCGAGAGCGACCGAAGAUCGGACGCUUCGUCGCGGGAGCGCUCGCGCGGAAUCGCGUUCCGACCCGCUAAAUAUAGCGAGCGCGGACUCGCGAUUAUUUCGGUAUUCGCAGCGGCGCGCAGCUGCGAUUCGUCGCGAGUGUGAUAUCGAGAGGAUUUCGAGGCCGAACAGAGAAAAAGAGAGAGAAAGAGAGAGAGAGAGAGAGAGAGAGAGAGGAUGAUCUCGAGCGAGCCGGCGACGGAGGUGGCGGCGACUACGGAAGGAAUACGCACGGCCGGUCCGAAUCGACGAUGUCCGCUCGUGGGUGACGGGCGGGCGCCGAAGGGAGGAAGAGGAGGAUGGAUGCGCUCUAAUAUGCAGAAACCAUGAAGAACGUCGGCCACUACCAUGACGCAAUUUCCGGGUGUCUCUAUCGGAGUUGGCGCACCCAGGAAAACGGCCGAUGCCCGCCUGGUACCCGUCACCCGCUCUCUUUCGAGCCGUUUUGUUUUCCUUCUUCUCGUCACCCUUUCUAUUUUGCUUCUUUCUUUCUUUCUCCUUUUUUCUUUUUUUUUCUUUUUUUAACACAGCGAGAUUAGACCCGCAGGAAAGUUUCGGGAGAAAAAUCGAAAUCCCGCGCGCGAGAAGACGCGAGAUGCUUUCCCUUCCUCAUCGCCGUCGUCGUACUGCGGAACUUCAUCGGCGAAGUGUCCGACGAAAAUUGGAAUUUGCCGGUUUCGCCCGACCUCGUGUCGCCGAGGACGCUGCAACACGGUGACGUUAUUUUUCCGCCGAGAGAGUCUAGGAUUUUUUGAACGGAAUAUUUCGAGAUACAUGUUCUCGUAAAUACCGGAGAAACGAGCAACGAGAGAAAAUGUCUAGCAGAGAAAGAGAAAGAGAGAGAGAGAGAGAGAGAGAGAGAGAGAGCGAGAGAGAGAAAAGGAAAACCGGCAGCCAGAGCCAGGAAUUUACGCGUCCUAUUUGCGUGUUUACCUGCGCGACUUAUCCCUUAAAUGCGUCGCGUCGCAGAUCUGCAACAGUUCAUAAUUUCGCUUGCAUCUCCUUGCGACACCGGCGUCGCUACGUUUACCAGAAAAAAAUGUAUAAUGUACAAUUUCGCGCAUUUGCGAUAAACGAAUUUUCGUGUGAACGGCGGCGCAUCAGAAAUUACUCGCGACAUUUCUCCUCGUUUAUCGCGUCGGGUGGAAAAUUAAUCUCUAUUAAAAAAUAUUAUUUGUGCGUAUAUCUUGAAUCGAAGCGCGCGCGGACUAUGCCCGGCGGCUCCAAGAUCGAAUACUGCGCCGGACUCAACGCUAGACGAGAGAAUACGUUAAAAUAUCAAUCAUACAAAUAUUAUUCUUCAAUUUUGAAUUCAAUAAAACUCGCGAGACUUUUUUCUCCUUA